GCCAGUGAUCCGGAUCUUAAUAAUAAAACAUAUGUGAAAGAAAAUAUAAACUUAAUUAAUUCAAACAUAAUUUACAAACUUGGGAGAAAAUUACAAAGACCUAUGUAACUACUAUUUACAUGCCUUAAGGAAGAAGUGAGGUUUCCCUUUCGAGAGUCCCCUGAAAACUUGACAGCUAUCGAAAAAUGAAGAACUAAGAAAACUUUUCACACUUUUCACACACUCCUCUUUUUUUUUUAAGUAACUUACGAACUUUGGAAACUAAGAACUUUAAGAAAAGCUAAGAACUUUAUGAAAACUUUCUUACUCUUGAUUUUUUCUCUCUCUUUGGCACAUGUUUUUGUCUUUCAUAAGGGGAGUUAUUUAUAGGCAUUUUUGGACUUCAAAUCUUACUUUUUUGUGGAUUUCAAAUCCUUUGUAAAGACUUUAGCAAGACUUAUCAACUUGGGUGGUCCCGACGGCUAAUAUCUUUCUUAAUUCUCCUCCGUUCAUUUAUUUAUCUGAUAUUGCAUACGUCUGCUAUUUUGUCUUUUGUAGAUAGCGUCAUUGCUUACGUAUCCAAAUUAUAUAAAGCCUCUGAGUCAAACUCCAUUCCUGAAUCAUCGUCUGCAUUUGGGUCUUGGACAAAUUGAUCCAUGGCUGAGUUGUAUUCUCGUUCAUAUUCAUCACUAUCUCCGUCUGAUAAUCCUAGUCUUGUUCCA
rnacentral:lncRNA from 1 species